UUUAUACUCCCUCCGUCCAACAAAAGAUGUCUCAAAUUUGUCAAAAUUUAAAUGUAUCUAGACAUGACUUAGUGUAUACAUGCAUUCAAAUUUAAUCAAAAUUGAGACAUCCUUUGUUAGACGGAGAGAGUACUAU
rfam:Brachypodium distachyon strain Bd21 chromosome 1, whole genome shotgun sequence.